rnacentral:hammerhead_ribozyme from 17 species
CAGACGUCUGGGGUAAGGAGGUCGCUGCCAUCAGCCCCACUGAUGAGUCUAGGCAGUGAUUCCGAGACGAAACGCUUU